UGGCAGUCGAACGAGUUCUGAUUAUUGAAAGGUGCUUGCAUCUUGAUUUAAUUUUGAACGAGUGGCGGACGGGUGAGGAACACGUGGGUAACCUGCCCUUAAGUGGGGGAUAACAUUUGGAAACAGAUGCUAAUACCGCAUAAAUCCAAGAACCGCAUGGUUCUUGGCUGAAAGAUGGCGUAAGCUAUCGCUUUUGGAUGGACCCGCGGCGUAUUAGCUAGUUGGUGAGGUAACGGCUCACCAAGGCAAUGAUACGUAGCCGAACUGAGAGGUUGAUCGGCCACAUUGGGACUGAGACACGGCCCAAACUCCUACGGGAGGCAGCAGUAGGGAAUCUUCCACAAUGGACGCAAGUCUGAUGGAGCAACGCCGCGUGAGUGAAGAAGGCUUUCGGGUCGUAAAACUCUGUUGUUGGAGAAGAAUGGUCGGCAGAGUAACUGUUGUCGGCGUGACGGUAUCCAACCAGAAAGCCACGGCUAACUACGUGCCAGCAGCCGCGGUA
rnacentral:rRNA from 2 species